CAAUAGCGUAUAUUAAAGUUGUUGCAGUUAAAAAGCUCGUAGUUGGAUUUCUGGGAGAGUGCCAAUGUCCGCCGACGUGCGUGCGCAGCGGCGCUCUUCAUCCUUCUGUUAACGGCUCUUGGCAUUCAUUUGCUGGUGUCGGGCUCAGAUAUUUUACCUUGAGAAAAUUAGAGUGUUUCAGGCAGGCUAGGCCGGAAUACAUUAGCAUGGAAUAAUGGAAUAGGACUACGGUCUCUUUGUUGGUUUGAGGGACUGCAGUAAUGAUUAAUAGGGAUAGUUGGGGGGCAUUAGUAUUUAAUUGUCAGAGGUGGAAUUCUCGGAUUUGUUAAAAGACGGAACUACUGCGAAAUG
rnacentral:rRNA from 1 species